CACCUAAAUAAGGCCUUGAGGCACCCAGCAGUGCUGUCCCGUGUGCACCCUCCCAUCCCCCUUGCUGAGGAUGGUGGUUAAUCUGGAGCUUGGGGGCAGAGAUGUGCCAUAUGAUACCAAGACGAUGCCUCUGAAAGCUACGAGCCAGGUUGCUGUGGGGAGCCCCCAGGCAAGUCGGAUUCCCAUUGCUGUUCAUUGGUCAGGAGAUUUCCCAGAAGACUGGAGGGACUGUGCUUCUCUUCAGUGAGGCAGUCCUAAAAGAAAGCAUGUCUCCACUGCGGGCAAACCUGUGGCUGGCUCUCGUGCGGAGGUGCGUGUUCCCACGCUCCGUCUCCUCCCUGCCCCAGCACACUGGUGCAAGGCUGAUUUCAGGAGAAGCCUCAUGAGCAGAAACAGGCCCUGCCUGGCUUGUCCAGGGAGCAUUAGCCAACAAAAGAGAAGAACUGAAGUCAUCCCUGCACUGCACCAGGCUAUAAACAGACCAACACAGCAAGAAGAGAAAACCAAGCCAAUCUGAUGUAUAAUGCAAUGAGUGCUGAGCCACCCUGCUGAUGCACAGGUUGUGCUGGUGUUUUAUUCACUAGCACAAGCCAAAGGUAUAAUCUGGCCCUGAAGAAAGGGCCUUGUGUAGCAUUGUUGUCAUGUGCAUGGGAUGUUAGUUAGCUUGCUGUUCUUACAGCAGGGGUUUGAAUGAGUGCAGCAGCGCUGCGUCUGACGCCACUUUAUUCACACCCUCCUGCCUCCUGAAGCCAUUCUGCAAAGGUGCCCGGGGACUAGGCGGCUGAAUUAAUUUCCAGAGGCAAACAUAGGCUGAAUCUGCGAAUAACCGAGGAUGCCUCCCUGCACUGGAGCUUCGCAGUGAGCCAGGCCCUGUUCGGGGCAGCGACCUCGGAAGGUGCAGGAGGCUCUGCCGAGGGUGCUUGGGGUGUGGGCGUGCUGCGUUGUACAGACAUGGCAAGGCUGCAGUAUCCCAACCACACGAUUGCAACAUUUUCUCCACCCAACAAGCCAAAGAGACAGGUAUUUGAGGAUUAGCUUAUUUUUUUAAAGAAAUCUUCCAAGUGAAUGAGGAAGAAAAAGGAAUGUGCAGAAUGUUCUAAAGGAUGCAACUGCACAAACGCAAAAUAAACAAAGAUAGAAGAGUACGUCGUGGAGCAGGAAGCUUUUGAAUACUUUUCUUAACUGAAGAGAGAUCAGCACCAAUUUUUUGGUCCCUGACUGUUCCCAGCAUGUUAGAAGGGUGGUUGGGAAUUCUGUUUUAAGUAAACAGCAUCUGCCAUUUCCAUGGGCAGUCUGAAAGUGCUGAGUAGCUGGUAAAGAGAUUAGCACUGUCUGACUUCUCUGCUAAUAACCGAUUCGUUACCGAGGCUUGGCAGGGCCUUUGCAAUUGUCAGAUAUAAAUGCUGUCAUUCUUGAAUAUUGUUCUUCUGAUGUAACUAAUAUUUAUUUGAAGGAUACUGUGGUCUUGCAAGUUCAGGUGAGUUUUCUGAACCCAUGUCUCAAUGUGAAAAGAAAACAGGGUUUAGGAGAAAAGAAUCAAAACAAGUUUACCUUAGAUGGCACAUCUAUUUAACACCUAACGUGUCAUUAUAAUUGUCUCUCUUAAAAGGGCAUAUUUUAAAACAUACAGUUGAAAUUUAAGCAAGUAUCUUGUCUAAGUUGGCCUGGGAUCAGUAAAGCUACCUCAUAUUGCGUCUCCUCUUUUGGAAAACACUAAGUAACUCUUCUGAGUGCUAAAGAGUGACUUCUAAGCCACUGUGAGUAGUUUCAUCACCAGAAAAGAGAUGCAAAAUUUUAGACAAUUCCAGAUUCUUAUCAAUAAAAAUUAAAUGUAGAAAGGACAUAGUUGUGUUCUGUCUAUGAUUUGCUUAUAGCAACAAUAUACUGAAUAAAGGAAGUGCAUUUACUGAAA